rnacentral:rRNA from 1 species
AUGGUUAAGUGACUAAGCGUACACGGUGGAUGCCUUGGCAGUCAGAGGCGAUGAAGGACGUAUUAACUUGCGAUAAGCCCAGAUUAGGUAGUAAAAACCGCUUGAGUCUGGGAUUUCCGAAUGGGGAAACCCACGUGCAUAAGCACGUAUCGUUAUGUGAAUACAUAGCAUAACGAGGCGAACCGGGGGAACUGAAACAUCUAAGUACCCCGAGGAAAAGAAAUCAACCGAGAUUCCGAAAGUAGCGGCGAGCGAAAUUGGACUAGCCCUUAAGCUAUUUAUGCGUCAGGUGAAACUUCUGGAAAGUUGUGCGAUACAGGGUGAUAGCCCCGUAACCGGCAACGCAUUUAUAGUGAAAUCGAGUAAGGCGGGACACGUGAUAUCCUGUCUGAAUAUGGGGGGACCAUCCUCCAAGGCUAAAUACUACUGACUGACCGAUAGUGAACCAGUACCGUGAGGGAAAGGCGAAAAGAACCCCUGUGAGGGGAGUGAAAUAGAACCUGAAACCGUGUACGUACAAGCAGUAGGAGCUCACUUGUUGGGUGACUGCGUACCUUUUGUAUAAUGGGUCAGCGACUUAUAUUCAGUGGCAAGG